rnacentral:rRNA from 1 species
GAUGAACGCUGGCGGCGUGCCUAAUACAUGCAAGUCGAGCGAACGGACGAGAAGCUUGCUUUUCUGAUGUUAGCGGCGGACGGGUGAGUAACGCGUGGAUAACCUACCUAUAAGACUGGGAUAACUUCGGGAAACCGGAGCUAAUACCGGAUAAUACUUUGAACCGCAUGGUUCAAAAGUGAAAGACGGUCUUGCUGUCACUUAUAGAUGGAUCCGCGCUGCAUUAGCUAGUUGGUAAGGUAACGGCUUACCAAGGCAACGAUGCAUAGCCGACCUGAGAGGGUGAUCGGCCACACUGGAACUGAGACACGGUCCAGACUCCUACGGGAGGCAGCAGUAGGGAAUCUUCCGCAAUGGGCGAAAGCCUGACGGAGCAACGCCGCGUGAGUGAUGAAGGUCUUCGGAUCGUAAAACUCUGUUAUUAGGGAAGAACAUAUGUGUAAGUAACUGUGCACAUCUUGACGGUACCUAAUCAGAAAGCCACGGCUAACUACGUGCCAGCAGCCGCGGUAAUACGUAGGUGGCAAGCGUUAUCCGGAAUUAUUGGGCGUAAAGCGCGCGUAGGCGGUUUUUUAAGUCUGAUGUGAAAGCCCACGGCUCAACCGUGGAGGGUCAUUGGAAACUGGAAAACUUGAGUGCAGAAGAGGAAAGUGGAAUUCCAUGUGUAGCGGUGAAAUGCGCAGAGAUAUGGAGGAACACCAGUGGCGAAGGCGACUUUCUGGUCUGUAACUGACGCUGAUGUGCGAAAGCGUGGGGAUCAAACAGGAUUAGAUACCCUGGUAGUCCACGCCGUAAACGAUGAGUGCUAAGUGUUAGGGGGUUUCCGCCCCUUAGUGCUGCAGCUAACGCAUUAAGCACUCCGCCUGGGGAGUACGACCGCAAGGUUGAAACUCAAAGGAAUUGACGGGGACCCGCACAAGCGGUGGAGCAUGUGGUUUAAUUCGAAGCAACGCGAAGAACCUUACCAAAUCUUGACAUCCUUUGACAACUCUAGAGAUAGAGCCUUCCCCUUCGGGGGACAAAGUGACAGGUGGUGCAUGGUUGUCGUCAGCUCGUGUCGUGAGAUGUUGGGUUAAGUCCCGCAACGAGCGCAACCCUUAAGCUUAGUUGCCAUCAUUAAGUUGGGCACUCUAAGUUGACUGCCGGUGACAAACCGGAGGAAGGUGGGGAUGACGUCAAAUCAUCAUGCCCCUUAUGAUUUGGGCUACACACGUGCUACAAUGGACAAUACAAAGGGCAGCGAAACCGCGAGGUCAAGCAAAUCCCAUAAAGUUGUUCUCAGUUCGGAUUGUAGUCUGCAACUCGACUACAUGAAGCUGGAAUCGCUAGUAAUCGUAGAUCAGCAUGCUACGGUGAAUACGUUCCCGGGUCU